rnacentral:rRNA from 1 species
GAUGAACGCUAGCGGGAGGCUUAACACAUGCAAGUCGAGGGGCAGCAUAGGGUAGCAAUACUCUGAUGGCGACCGGCAAACGGGUGAGUAACGCGUAUGCAACCUACCCUGUACAGGGGGAUAACCCGGAGAAAUUCGGACUAAUAUCCCGUAAUAAUAUCCGGAGGCAUCUUUGGAUAUUUAAAGUUCCGACGGUACGGGAUGGGCAUGCGUAACAUUAGCUGGUUGGUAAGGUAACGGCUUACCAAGGCUAUGAUGUUUAGGGGUCCUGAGAGGGUGGUCCCCCACACUGGUACUGAGACACGGACCAGACUCCUACGGGAGGCAGCAGUGAGGAAUAUUGGUCAAUGGGCCAAGCCUGAACCAGCCAUCCCGCGUGCAGGAAGACGGCCCUAUGGGUUGUAAACUGCUUUUCCAGGGAGAGAAACUUACGCACGUGUUGCGUGACUGACGGUACCCUGGGAAUAAGCAUCGGCUAACUCCGUG